CUCUUCAUCAUGGCGGUGAGCGUGGAGUCGUCGUUUUGGAAAUAAACUUUAUAAUUUUUAAAUGUCAAAGACAUCAUGGCUAAAAGGAAGAUUGUUUAUAUAUCACAAAGAAAUCAUCUUUACUAAUUUAACAUUGAUCAAUUUCUUUUUCAUUAAUACCAUAAUUUUUAAAGUUUUAUAUAUGACAGUUAGGCGAGGUUUAUCAGCAUGUUCGCGAGUAUAACCUAAAUUUGUUUCAUGAUGUUUAUAAGACUUAUAGAAUAGUUGCUUAUAAUACUAGUUCAAGAAAUUAAUACGAAUAGAUUAAACAUCUUGAUAUCAUAAUUUAUUGUUAUAAAACAAGUCAAUAUUUCGAAUAUUUUUUACGAUCUGUGUCGAUGAAUCUGGUGAUAGACUCACUCUUGCUGCAAAGGUGCUGGAACAAUUAACUGGACAUCAACCUGUUUUUUCUAAAGCAAGAUACACUGUGCGUUCAUUUGACAUUCGCCGUAAUGAAAAAACUGUAGUAAAUCGUAUGGUAGGAGGUGCUAAAGCAGAGGAAAUUCUUAAAUGUGGAUCGAAGGCAAUUCUAUCACUGAUAGAAAUGUUUUACAUUCAAUUUCUUUUUAAGCGUUCAAUUUUGCUUUUCCUUUUACAAAGAUACGGGAAUAUGAAUUGAGGAAAGAAAAUUUCUCUGGCACUGGAAACUUCGGUUUUGGUGUUCGAGUACACAUUGACUUAGGAAUUAAAUAUGACCCCAGCAUUGGUAUUUAUGGCUUGGAUUUCUAUAUUGUACUUGAACAACCAGGUUGAUUUAUUACCAUUUGAUAUUCUAUAAUAAAUCAAUAUAUUCACAUCUGGCAUAAUAGUUACUACUAUAUUCAAGUUGUAUCUAUAUUUAUACAAUAUGUGCUAGAAUAUAGAUUUCGUAUUUGCAACUGAUGCCCGCUUAUAAUACUGGGUGUGUUACUUGAACGAAGCUACAGUUUAUAUUCAUAUUUAUUUGAAUAUUAACAUUGUUGUUAUAAUUCUAUUUUGAUAAAUUAAGAGUUUAAAUUGCAGAAUGCUUAUCUGUUACGUCGCAUGAGAUGAUGGACCCUCAAUAAACUUAAGGCCCCGCCAUAAACUGAAUCUUAUUAGCUUGCAGGAACCUUUAAUUCUGCAAGUAUUUUCGGUUUAUGGCUGGUCCUUAGAACAGUCUUUAGGUUUAUUGCACGUUCUUACAAAUUACGGAGAAAGCGGGUAUUUGUCUAACGGAAAAGCAGGUUUUUCCCAUAAACAAUGUCGCCCAUGAGCCACGUUGGUAGGAGGCUUCUUCCUCCUAUCCUCAUUCCUAUUUGGUUGGUCAUAACCAAUAGGCAUCGCGGAUCGUUACCCUCACUUUCCUAACGAAAAGUGUGAGCAACGAAUCCGCUUUCUUCAUACAACAAAGACACCCACUCCGAGCUUUCCUCCGUAAUCACACACGAACGAACUUCACUUGUUCUCUGAACUACAGAUCAGUCACUUGUGCUCUAGACUUCAUCUCUAUACUUGCUAUCUAGACUUGUUUCACAGUAAUAUUCAAGUAACAGUUAAAACCAGCUCGAUGUAAAACACAGUUCAAGGGACAGCAGGAGUCAGAAGUCAAGUAAGCAGGAUUGCCAAGUCGAAGACAGUCAAUCGACAGAAGAUACAUCACCACAGUUGCCAACACGAAACGAGUCUUAGGUCGUACUCAUUCGUAGUUUGUCAUUCCACAUACGUAACAUUGUAUCACAUUGAAGUUGUUGGAUCUUUGAAAAUAUAUAUUAACCUGUUAA